GGUGCGGCAGCUCCGGGACCCGAAAUUUUUGUUGUUGUGUGAGUGUGGAGAGGGCUCCGGGACGCCACGGGAGAAGCGGUGGAGAGGGCUUCUCGAUUUUUCGCUUCUCGAUUUUUCCAUGAAGACGGUGCAGGAGGAGAAAAAGAGGUGAGGUGAAAAGCGGUGAAAAGUGAGAGUAGAUAUUUCUGGAAGAUGCGCUUACCGGGAAGAGGCAUAGCAAACCGGUAGCCGGUAAACCACCUAUCCAGAAAAAUAGGCCACAAAGAAUGACCAAACCACCGAAGCGCAAAAUAGAAGAGUACGUGUCACGCAAUGACUUGACAAAUGAGUGGAUAAAUAGCCCGGCUACAGUAACUGAAUUGCUAAGGAGGAGGUUAAAUUGAUUGUCUUUUAUAUAGUGUAUAAUAAUGCAUGUGUUUUCUAGAUAUUUUUUCAGUGCCCGACACUGCAAUAUGAAAAGCUGCCAGAUUGUGCAAGAAAUACUAUGAUAUCCAGUGAAAUAAGUGGAGGCUUGGAUAUUCGUAAGUCAGUUAUUUAUACAUGGAUGCAUGGCUCCCGGUUAUGAAAUAUUAGUAGAGUGGCACCACCGUAUCUCCCCUUUAUUUUGAUUAUGUUUCCUUUCUCAACCCUUGCCGAAAGAUUACUUCCCUGUGAUCAGCACCUUCCUUUCAAGGUAAUCAAACAUUCAAACGUGUUCAGGUUGUUCUGAUGGUGAUGGAAAGCGGGUCGUUAAGAAUGAUUGAGGGAUAUUUACAACUUGGAUGGGAUUUGAUUGGAGGAGUGAGGUGACCAUGCAUCACAUCAAUUCUCACUUGGUACUUCAGUCAGGGCCUUACACUGCCAUCUACAAUCAACUAAUAUCAGCGAUCGUUAAUUCAGCAGGAGGUGUUCAUUUUAUGUCAGGCCAUGUGCAGGCCUACAAGUAGUACAUUUAUAUGGAAUGCUAUUGUUCCAUCCUUACCAGCUCAUGGCCGCGUAGUUUCAGCAUAUUUAUAUUUUCAAUAAUUUUUUCACGCCAUCAUUUUUCCGCUAACAAUUUUUUUUGAUCUUCUUCAUUCCAGCUGAGACAUCUUCUUAUGGUUGUUUAUUGUUGUGUGGAGUUUACAAAUGGCCUAAGAUUAUUUGAUCGACAAUGGCGAUAUGGAGAAUUCAAUAUGCAGAUUUUAUUACCAUUAGUAUUGUUAGUCCAGAUCCAAAAAGUUACAGUAUAUGUGGUUAAAUGAAGGUUCAAGGUGUGCCUGGUUUGAUCACUCCGGCAACCUGUCGGUAUUGUUGCCUGGUGUUGUGUGCACAUUUUCAGAAAAAUUGUUGGUGCUAAUGUUCUAUCAGGAUCUUCGGUGUAUCUUCUAUCUUUAGUUAGUGCUGAUAAGUAUUUGGAGAUUUUGCAUUUUGUCCCGGUUCAUGAAAUUGCUGAAUUCAGUAAACCUUUUCCUUCUUCUAGCAGAAGCAUUUUCAGGCGAGAAGAGGGAACCAUAACAUGUGAUUGUUGUUGUUUAUUUUUCCUUCUGCUAUGGCCAAAAGUGUCUGCAAUCAAAGCCUUCCUUGGUGCUUUUUAACGCACACAAUUCGGAAAAAAAGUUAUAGCAAAUAAUGCUAUAGAAACAUGUAUGACAACAGGCGCGGCGUGCCGCCGCGCCAUGGCUUACUAGUAUUUAUGUAUGAAUGCUAACAUUAGCGGUGAUUCUUCUUAAAGCAGCUAUGCAUUCUGUGGA